GACGAACGCUGGCGGCGUGCUUAACACAUGCAAGUCGAACGGAAAGGCCCUGCUUUUGUGGGGUGCUCGAGUGGCGAACGGGUGAGUAACACGUGAGUAACCUGCCCUUGACUUUGGGAUAACUUCAGGAAACUGGGGCUAAUACCGGAUAGGAGCUCCUGCUGCAUGGUGGGGGUUGGAAAGUUUCGGCGGUUGGGGAUGGACUCGCGGCUUAUCAGCUUGUUGGUGGGGUAGUGGCUUACCAAGGCUUUGACGGGUAGCCGGCCUGAGAGGGUGACUGGCCACAUUGGGACUGAGAUACGGCCCAGACUCCUACGGGAGGCAGCAGUGGGGAAUAUUGCACAAUGGGCGGAAGCCUGAUGCAGCAACGCCGCGUGCGGGAUGACGGCCUUCGGGUUGUAAACCGCUUUCGCCUGUGACGAAGCGUGAGUGACGGUAAUGGGUAAAGAAGCACCGGCUAACUACGUGCCAGCAGCCGCAGUAA
rnacentral:rRNA from 1 species